GCCCCUUAUGAUUUGGGCUACACACGUGCUACAAUGGACAAUACAAAGGGCAGCGAUACCGCGAGGUCAAGCAAUUCCCAUAAAGUUUUUCUCAGUUCGGAUUGUAGUCUGCAACUCGACUACAUGAAGCUUGAAUCGCUAGUAAUCGUAGAUCAGCAUGCUACGCUGAAUACGUUCUCGGGUCUUGUACACACCGCCCGUCACACCACGAGAGUUUGUAACACCCGAAGCCGGUGAAGUAACCAUUUUGGAGCUAGCCGUCGAAGGUGGGACAAAUGAUUGGGGUGAAGUCGUAACAAGGUAGCCGUAUCGGAAGGUGCGGCUGGAUCACCUCCUUUCUAAGGA
rnacentral:rRNA from 1 species